GUGCGAGCAGUCGUCAGUCAGUUGGCCAAGAAACUGGUAGCGUCUGGUGUUGCGAGCCAACAAAAGGCUGGCAGCCAACACCGGACCGGACCGGGGCUACACGGCCCCGGGACCGGGACGGACCCUUGGCCACCGGUUCUGACUGCGGAUUGUGGACUGCCAAUUGAGUUUGAGUUUGAGCGACGCGUAGCCAGCCAAGAAAAGUGGCCAACAACAACUGGCCCUUACCCCUGGCCAUGGCACUGAGGACUGAGGUGGCCUAAGAAGACAUCGCCACGCAGCCAGGAUGUGGAGUGAAAGCAGAGCAGUGCCAGUGGCUGUGGCAGUGGCAGCAGCGUACUUUUUUGGCCGCUCUCGCCAUUUGAUUAGCCAACUCAAACAUCAGGGCCAAGAUCGAGCCAAACAACGGUUGAUGGCCAAUUGACAGCUCACACACAGAUGAACACGCCGACCAGGCCCACACGCGAUUGGACACACGGAUGAGCCACGCUGGACCCCACCAACAGGAUGCUCCUCCACGUCCGUCUCGACCAUACAGCAAUCAUACAGAAAUAACAUCAAUUAAAAUAAGAAGAAGAAGAAGGAGGAGCAUCAUUCCGCAACACCAACAACCAGUUGCUGCUGUGGUGCAAAAGUGUGUGCAAAAGUGUGUGUGGAAAUGUGUGCGUGUGGACUGACCAACAUGCGGUGCCAAAAAGGGUGCCAGAGAAGGAGGUGGCUGGAUGAUGGCAGCCCUGGCUCGGACCCAACCAACAACCAACAAAAACUGGAAGUGGAAGUGGCUGCAGAGGAACAACAACCAACCUUUGGCAAUGUUGAUUGUUUCAUCGGACCAGGCUUAAUGUAAUGAAUCGUCCUGGACCAUCAGCACGUCAGCACGGAGCCAGGCAAACGCCAGCGAAACCUCAAUGGAUAAACAUCAUCCACAGAGAGGCACUUCUAAGAAAAAACCAAUAAAAAAUCAACAAAAAAAUAAAUUAAAUAACGUUACAAACAUUUCAACAUAGUGAACGUAGUGCUUAAAACUCUAUAAAGAAUAAUCGCAUAUAAACUAUAAAUUAACCACACAUAAAAUACUCAAUACUUAAUCCCCCAACAUCUAUAACUACGACGUUAUUGAAACUUAACCAACACUUAUAAAUAUGCAAUAGAACAAAGAAUACUCUUAAACUCUUAGUGAAAUACAUAAUAUAACCCUGGUUAUAUCGAAUACGUGGUAAUGACAAGCACUUGUAGAAAAUUAUUUGAUCGAUUUCGAUCGAGCCUAAAUUCAAUCAGCGCGAGGCACUUGCACUGGUCUCGUCGAGCAUAAGAUGAUGAAGCAGCACCGUUGGAACGAGUGGAGGAGGACGUAGUGAGAAGGAGUGGAAAAUGGAGAACAUCUGAGCGAGGAAGAGUGCCAGAUAAUGACAGCUACAGAGGGUACACAACAGACUCGAGCUAACAGAUUCAUAAUACAAAUGAAUCCAGAAAGUAUCAAGAAACCUGGUGGACGACAAAGAUGGGUAAAGUAAUCCAGAGUUGAACUAAAUAAUAUAUCUACAGCCAUUCCAAUGAACUAAUCGGAUGGAUAAAGGUGCUCUAUUCAAUAGGCAGAUAAAUUUCAUAUAAGAAAACAAUCCUUUUUUAAUGUUAUAAGCUUAAGGAGGGACAUCAUACAUACAGAUAUGCGAGCGUGAGAAAAAAUUCUAGCCAAGAUUUUGGCAAGCUACCAUCUUGGCAGAGGCCCAUUACCCAUUCCACCAUCACCACCAACACCAACACUAACACCACGGUGGCACAGUGGCCUAGGUCUAUAAAAACGUGAGAUAAGAAUAGAUGAUGGAGGGAUACGAAAAGGAACCUGAUGUUAGCUGACACUGAAAUUAGUGAUAAGAGAUAAGAAGAGGAGAUAUGUAAGUAUCUUCAUAAAGGGCUCACAAUUUAUAUGGAUAUAUAAAAGGAUUAGAGAGCACAGUGUCCAAAAGGAUGAUAUAUAUAUAGGAAGAUUUUGUGUGGUAGAACUCAAAAUAAGUACGACUAUAUCCAGUAAAUGGGAUAUGACUUCUCAGGAAUGGAAAUCUCUGACAGUUUGUGUUGAAAACUUUCCCUGCUCCACUGUACUCUCCUAACGGGUGUCGAAAAUUGAUGACGUAUCUUGUGCCUGGCAGUGGCAGCCCCAACUAAUGUUUACCAUUUCUCUUCAUAUAUCUCG
rnacentral:sRNA from 1 species